GGCGCGGAGCGAUUUAACCGAGUCCCUGCGUCGUGGCCGGAGUUCCCGGUGUUUCUGUGCCAUCCUCGGCCAUCGCCGAAAUCUCUGAACAUCCGCCGUCUUUGCCGCCUGCUCGUUCUAUCUCUACCAUCGCCCAGCGACAUCACGUCGGGCCUGCGGCUAUCCUGGAGAACGACGGAAACUUCCUUCAGUUGGAGAUGCUGGAGCCGCAGCAACCCACACCCCACACCCGGCAGCACUUUAGUCAGCUCCCUCACGGUUCCUUCUGCCCUUGGCAAGGACGCCCAGGGAAGCGGUGAUGUUCUAGAGCACUUUGAGGUCCAUGGCUGACACUGCCAGACAGACAGCACUCAAAAAAUGAUAUGGCCAUAAUAUAGUUUUGAAUGGAAGACUCUUAAUAGACAGAUAGAAACAAACAGAACAGACAACAUCUGAAGGAGUUCCAGACCCUCUCAUAGCAGUAGAGGCUUGUCAGCUGACCUCUGUCCUAUGUGCUCAGCAGCCCCAUGUCUUUAAGAAGAGCCUAGAACAGGAUGCUUUUAAGGUGGGUUUGUUGGCACAAAGGCUUCAUGGGACAUGUCCUUCAGAUGCAGGGCACCAGACUGUGAAGCCUAGCGGAACGGCCCUCCUGCCCACAGUAACUGCAGAAGAGGAGCCUCCAGACCAGACUCCUUCAGUGUUGGUUGCUCCUGAGCCCUCAUCCUCCUCCUGGGCACUGGAGGGUCAGCAGUGAGAGGAAUGUGAGCUGGGCCACCACGGGCUCUGGGUCUCUUUGAAUUUGUCUACUUGAUCUGUUCCCAGCCUCUACUUUGUCUGACAAGGUCUCCCUCUGAGAUCCAGAGACUAUCAAGGGAGCUGAGUCCUCAGAAUCUGAGGCCCCAGAGCCAGAGCCCCUCAAGGAGGUUUGGGUACCGAGUAUUGUGCUGACAUUCUCAUCAAGGUUCUCUUGGCGUUGAUUGUGGAUACCAGGAUUUAGAGUGCAGAGAAGGGUCACCACAUGAAUCAGCUCUUCACUCUGCACAAGAAGCACAGAUGUGAUACUCUAGCCUGCUAGUCUUGACCACAGUGCCUAUGAGGGCUGAAAGCCCCAUGUCUAUCUUUCCAGGCUUGGAAUGACUAAUAAACUCUUUUCCUCUAGA